UGGAAACUUUACCACAAGCUAGCUCAUAGUGACAAACAGGAAGGAGGCUGUUUGUAUGUGGCAGUGCUCACAUCUCCAAUAGCAGUGUCAGGCCGAACAGGCCACAGAAUUGUGAGGUGAAUGAGUGAGAAUACAAAAAGAAAAAUCAAGAGCUGGUAGGUUCUUAAUUCUGUCAUUUUUCUGCAUGGCCUGCACGAUUCAUUGCUCUCUAUAAACAACAGAUGAAAGGGUGUGGAUCUCUUUGCUCAGUUGAGUCAAAGCUUACAGGUUUGCUUUGGAAGUGGGGAGUUGCUUCGGUACCUCAGUGUGUCUGGGCAGCACUUUCAAGGACUGUCAAUCCUGAGAAUGUUGAGGUUUUGGGUCAAUCUCAGGUUCGUCAGCCCAUGAAAAGCUGUCUUCGCCUAAUCCUAGUAUGAUCAGUAAGGUUUUGUAUAUAUAUCAUCUGUUUGUUUAAACUUUUUAACAUACAUUGCAUUUUGAUAUAGCUUUCAUGAAAAUUAAAGCUACUGUUAUUUGUAUAUUAUUAUUUUUGCUUCUGUAGAUCCUGCUUUUUUAUGAUUAAUGUACAUGGUUUCUUUUUUGACAAUCAUUAUUUACUAACAAUGAAUGUUUAAAGACUCACUGCAAAUUACAAAUUUGGUUUACCAAUUUUUUUUAAAUGCUCAUGCAAAUUAUGGUUAUGAUAAUCUGGGGAUAGGUUUUAAAAUGUAAAAAUAAAUUAUUAUUCUUCAUCAUUUUUUUAAAUUUAAUUAAUUUUAUAGAACAGAUCAAUUGGUGUUUGUGGAGUUUACAACUAUUUUAAAUCUUCUUAACAUUACCUAUUUAAAAAAAUGGAUCCUUGGUAAUUCUUUGCAUAUUUAAAUUUUUCUCAAAUUUUGGUUUAGAAAACAGCAUAGUAAACCCUUUAAUGUCAGAAGCCUUUAGUUUGAGUAGCCCAAGUAUAUUGGCAGAUUAUCGAUACAAAAAUGUAUAUUUCCUUAAUGUAAUGCAAAUGUAUGAAAUAAUUCACACCAUGAAAUCAUUAUACCGUAUAUAUUAUUAAUGUAAUAAAUAUGCCGUAAAUCUGCUACAUAGUUUUUUUCCUGUUUGUUGGGGAGUGUGGAAGUUUAUUUAAAUUCUCAUUUAGAAAAAUAACAGCCGUGGCUCUGAACAGUUGCUUUUCUUUUUUACAUUCUAAAUAAAAAAGUUCUCUAUAACUUACUUACUAUAUGAAUAUAAAAUAUAUAUGAAAAUAACAUUCUAAUUAUUUAUCACCAUAAUGCAAUGCAAUGAGAUUGAGAUUUACAUUUCAAUGAAAUUAGAGUGAAAGGUUUCAGUUCCGCUUGCUACUGACAUAAGUGAAAGGUGCUAGAGCUCAGCAUCCUUGAUCAUCCUGUUCUCAUAAUUAGUUUUUUGUCACAGAGCACAGAAAAUGUAAUAUUAAAUUGCUAGUACCAUGAUACUGUGUGGAGAAACAAGGUGACAAAAUGAGGGUAAAUUUCAUUUCAGGACUUGAUGGAAACAGAAAUUAUCAGUUUAUUUGUCCUAAUUCAGAGGUUUCAAGCACCUAUCUGCUCUUCCCCAGUUCAACACGAUUGUACUAUUUCUGGACAGGUAAAUUACAAUUAAUAUAUUUAAAGUUAUUAGUUAAUAAAACUGCAGUAAAGUCUUAUGUACUGUGUACAAUUUAGGACAACAGUUUUACAGAUCACCACAAGAGGGGCCAUUGUCCAUGAGAAUGUGAAGGUUUUUAUUAAAGGUUUUUUAUUAAAGGUUUUUUUUAUUUAUAUUGAAGGUUUUUAUUAAAACAGUACUGAUGGGGACAUGUCUUAAAGGGUAUGUAUUACGAUGCAUUUUUUGCAUGUGACUGGAGUUGAAAAUAAUAAAAAAUUCAUACUGGUUAAUAACUCUGUACAGCCAUGGAUGUUUAGACAUUUUAUGAAACACAAUGAUGUAAAUCCUUUUGAUACAGCAGUUGAAAAACACUGGAAUGCAUCUGCAUCCACAUACUUUUUGUGCAUAGUUGCAUAGUAUCUUGUUUGAUUUAGCCUUAUAACCCUUCCCAAAUCAAUAAAGAACAACACUUGCUUCUCUGA